rnacentral:rRNA from 1 species
UACAGAGACUGCAAGCGUUAUUCGGAUUCACUGGGCGUAAAGGGCGCGUAGGCGGCCUGAUAAGUCGGGGGUGAAAGCCUGUGGCUCAACCACAGAAUGGCCUUCGAUACUGUUAGGCUUGAGACCGGAAGAGGUAAGUGGAACUGCGAGUGUAGAGGUGAAAUUCGUAGAUAUUCGCAAGAACACCAGUGGCGAAGGCGGCUUACUGGUCCGGUUCUGACGCUGAGGCGCGAAAGCGUGGGGAGCAAACAGG